rnacentral:tRNA from 1 species
AAAUAAGAAGCAAUAUUGCAUUUAAUUUCGACUUAAAAGAUAGGGUUAAUUACCCCUUAUUUA